rnacentral:sRNA from 1 species
CCGCCCGUCGCUACUACCGAUUGAAUGGCUCAGUGAGGCGUUCGGACUGGCUCGGGGAGGUUGGCAACGACCACCCCAAGCCGGAAAGUUCGUCAAACUCGGUCAUUUAGAGGAAGUAAAAGUCGUAACAAGGUCUCCGUAGGUGAACCUGCGGAGGGAUCAUUACACAAUUAAAAUAUGAAGGCUUCGGCUGGAUUAUUUUUAUCACCCUUGUCUUUUGCGCACUUGUUGUUUCCUGGGCGGGUUCGCCCGCCACCAGGACCACACCAUAAACCUUUUUUAUGCAGUUGCAAUCAGCGUCAGUAUAACAAAUGUAAAUCAUUUACAACUUUCAACAACGGAUCUCUUGGUUCUGGCAUCGAUGAAGAACGCAGCGAAAUGCGAUACGUAGUGUGAAUUGCAGAAUUCAGUGAAUCAUCGAAUCUUUGAACGCACAUUGCGCCCUUUGGUAUUCCAAAGGGCAUGCCUGUUCGAGCGUCAUUUGUACCCUCAAGCUUUGCUUGGUGUUGGGCGUCUUUUGUCUUUGGCCUCGCCCAAAGACUCGCCUUAAAACGAUUGGCAGCCGGCCUACUGGUUUCGCAGCGCAGCACAUUUUUGCGCUUUGCAAUCAGCACAAGGACGGCAAUCCAUCAAGACUACAUUUUUACGUUGACCUCGGAUCA